GCCUAUGGCCACACUGCCCGGAGAACGCCGGGUCUCGUCUGAUCUCAGAAGUUAAGCAGGGUCGGGCCCGGUUAGUACUUGUACUCGGAUGGGAGACAGUCUGGGAAUAGCAGGUGCUGUAGCUA
rnacentral:rRNA from 1 species